AGGUCAUUUUGGAACAGAUUUUCCAGAAGAGGAAACCCUAAUACUAUGAACAUGAAUGUAAAUUACAGUUUAAAUAAUGACAGCGUCACCUGUGGUAAAUCUGCCCCCAAACCACGCCUUCCAUCUCCUGAAAGCCACCCUAAAUUCGACUGUGGAAAGAUGACUGGGAAAAAAUUUGAUGAGGUAUGUAUUUCUCCUUUCUGAGUUUAUCUGCUGUGGAUUAGCAAAUCAUGGGUACACCUAAAAGGGCACAGCGUGAGGAUUGUUGGGAAA